rnacentral:lncRNA from 1 species
UAAGUUGCUAGCUAGUACCAGCGGGAAUUCUUUACAACAAAAUGCACAACAAAUAUUCUCCAAAAACCGCUGCAUCUUAUGUGUGAUCUUCGAAUAACAUUUACAAACAAUUUAAUAUAAAUUGUACAUAUAAAUCAUCACUUGAGAGUAUAAAAAUCACUUUUGAUGUACAGUGCUUGGCAACCAACAACUUACCGCUGGUUUGGUGCUUGUUCACUGGGAUGAUUCUAACUGGAACAUCCCCCCUCGUAAGCAAGAUACCCAAACCAGCCAAUAAGAUGCCAUGUUGAGUAGGUGAAGGCAAGACAAACUCAAACCAAAAACCCAUUGGCUUAACAAUAAAGUGGCAAGGGGAAUCACCAAUAUAACCCUGUUACACAAGCACAGCUGGAAACAAACCAGGGUCUGUAGGGAUGCCUCUAGCACUGAGAUGCAGUGCCUUAGACCGCUGCGCCACAAUUAAAUUCGCAAUGAUUGUACAUCCACUAAGAAAAGUCCACAAAAACCUAAAAUAAACAUUGAUAUGAAGAAGUCAGCAUACAAGUGACACGACACAUGCUUGACAGCCUCAGGAACUAUGCCUCUUCUGACCUCAGUAUUGCGAAGAAGGGAGGAGAGUAAAUGUGCAGAGGCAGAAACCGGGGCAUGCCUGGCAAGCUGUUCCAUGAUGAAGGGGCUCUGAACAGGAAAAGACCCUGCCCUCCAGCUGUGCUUUUAGAUAUUCUCAGGAUGACUUAGGUCAAAGUGUGGUGAUUAAAGCGUGCAUGUUGGUUUAUAUUGUUUGAGCAUGUCAUUGAGUACUGUUACGUGGGAGCUUAUAAAUGUAGGUUAUGCAGUUUGCAAAUCUCACUUUUAUGAGAAUUAGUAUAAAUCAUGUUUUUUAAAUACUGAUAUUUUAGAAUGUUGUUAUAUUAGUUAUUUGUAUUUCCA